rnacentral:rRNA from 1 species
CUACGGGAGGCUCCAGUGGGGAAUAUUGCACAAUGGGCGCAAGCCUGAUGCAGCCAUGCCGCGUGUGUGAAGAAGGCCUUCGGGUUGUAAAGUACUUUCAGCGGGGAGGAAGGGAGUAAAGUUAAUACCUUUGCUCAUUGACGUUACCCGCAGAAGAAGCACCGGCUAACUCCGUGCCAGCAGCCGCGGUAAUACGGAGGGUGCAAGCGUUAAUCGGAAUUACUGGGCGUAAAGCGCACGCAGGCGGUUUGUUAAGUCAGAUGUGAAAUCCCCGGGCUCAACCUGGGAACUGCAUCUGAUACUGGCAAGCUUGAGUCUCGUAGAGGGGGGUAGAAUGCCAGGUGUAGCGGUGAAAUGCGUAGAGAUCUGGAGGAAUACCGGUGGCGAAGGCGGCCCCCUGGACGAAGACUGACGCUCAGGUGCGAAAGCGUGGGGAGCAAACAGGAUUAGAUACCCCAGUAGUC